rnacentral:rRNA from 1 species
AUAGUAGCAAUACUAGAGACCGGCGCACGGGUGCGUAACGCGUAUGCAAUCUACCUUUUACAGUGGGAUAGCCCAAAGAAAUUUGGAUUAAUACCACAUAGUAUAUCAUUUUCGCAUGAAGGAGAUAUUAAAGUCACAACGGUAAAAGAUGAGCAUGCGUCCCAUUAGUUAGUUGGUAAGGUAACGGCUUACCAAGACUACGAUGGGUAGGGGUCCUGAGAGGGAGAUCCCCCACACUGGUACUGAGACACGGACCAAACUCCUACGGGAGGCAGCAGUGAGGAAUAUUGGACAAUGGGCGCAAGCCUGAUCCAGCCAUGCCGCGUGCAGGAUGACGGUCCUAUGGAUUGUAAACUGCUUUUAUACGAGAAGAAACCCUCCGACGUGUCGGAGCUUGACGGUAUCGUAAGAAUAAGGAUCGGCUAACUCCGUGCCAGCAGCCGCGGUAAUACGGAGGAUCCAAGCGUUAUCCGGAAUCAUUGGGUUUAAAGGGUCCGUAGGCGGUUUAGUAAGUCAGUGGUGAAAGCCCAUCGCUCAACGGUGGAACGGCCAUUGAUACUGCUAGACUUGAAUUAUUAGGAAGUAACUAGAAUAUGUAGUGUAGCGGUGAAAUGCUUAGAGAUUACAUGGAAUACCAAUUGCGAA